AGGUGGCUCGCGUUGCUCGGCAUCACUGGGCGUAAAGCGCACGUAGGCGGCUUUCUAAGUCAGGGGUGAAAUCCUGGAGCUCAACUCCAGAACUGCCUUUGAUACUGGAGAGCUUGAGUCCGGGAGAGGUGAGUGGAACUCCGAGUGUAGAGGUGAAAUUCGUAGAUAUUCGGAAGAACACCAGUGGCGAAGGCGGCUCACUGGCCCGGUACUGACGCUGAUGUGCGAAAGCGUGGGGAGCAAACAGG
rnacentral:rRNA from 1 species